rnacentral:rRNA from 1 species
AUUGAACGCUGGCGGCAGGCUUAACACAUGCAAGUCGAGCGGGGUGAUGGUGCUUGCACUAUCACUUAGCGGCGGACGGGUGAGUAAUGCUUAGGAAUCUGCCUAUUAGUGGGGGACAACAUCUCGAAAGGGAUGCUAAUACCGCAUACGUCCUACGGGAGAAAGCAGGGGAUCACUUGUGACCUUGCGCUAAUAGAUGAGCCUAAGUCGGAUUAGCUAGUUGGUGGGGUAAAGGCUUACCAAGGCGACGAUCUGUAGCGGGUCCGAGAGGAUGAUCCGCCACACUGGGACUGAGACACGGCCCAGACUCCUACGGGAGGCAGCAGUGGGGAAUAUUGGACAAUGGGGGGAACCCUGAUCCAGCCAUGCCGCGUGUGUGAAGAAGGCCUUAUGGUUGUAAAGCACUUUAAGCGAGGAGGAGGCUCUUUUGGUUAAUACCCAAGAUGAGUGGACGUUACUCGCAGAAUAAGCACCGGCUAACUCUGUGCCAGCCGCCGCGGUAA